rnacentral:rRNA from 1 species
GAUGAACGCUGGCGGCGUGCCUAAUACAUGCAAGUCGAGCGAACAGACGAGGAGCUUGCUCCUCUGACGUUAGCGGCGAACGGGUGAGUAACACGUGGAUAACCUACCUAUAAGACUGGGAUAACUUCGGGAAACCGGAGCUAAUACCGGAUAAUAUAUUGAACCGCAUGGUUCAAUAGUGAAAGACGGUUUUGCUGUCACUUAUAGAUGGAUCCGCGCCGCAUUAGCUAGUUGGUAAGGUAACGGCUUACCAAGGCAACGAUGCGUAGCCGACCUGAGAGGGUGAUCGGCCACACUGGAACUGAGACACGGUCCAGACUCCUGCGGGAGGCAGCAGUAGGGAAUCUUACGCAAUGGGCGAAAGCCUGACGGAGCAACGCCGCGUGAGUGAUGAAGGUCUUCGGAUCGUAAAACUCUGUUAUUAGGGAAGAACAAAUGUGUAAGUAACUAUGCACGUCUUGACGGUACCUAAUCAGAAAGCCACGGCUAACUACGUG